UUGGUUCAGACAGUUGGUACAGCAAUUGGUUGACAAACCAGUGUUGCGAAGCUAAGUCUGUUGGAUAAUGGCUGAACGCCUCUUAAGCCAGAACCCAUGCUGAUUAAACAAUACUAUUUUGUUCUUCUUUGUUUCUACUUUUACUGCUUAUGUAAAAGCGAUGCUAUAUGUGUAACAUUUGUUACACAAAUAUUCCUAUUGCCAUUUGGAUGCUUGCUUCCUUUUGGUUAUUGUAAUUAACAACAAAGAUGAAUUACACAAACUGUAGACGACUUUUUGGCCUCGGGGUGCUGUAAACAUGAAAGUAAACUUUGUUUUACGAUCUGUUGAGGCUUAUCCUCUGUGGUAAAGUGUUC
rnacentral:ncRNA from 1 species